GUUUAGUAUGAAAGGAUCCGUUACCAAACAUGGCGUCUCCAAACAUGGCGUCUCUUUGGCUACGGAACUAAGCCGUAGCCAAAGCUAACAGCCUUAUUAUUUAUAGGCUUCCAAGUCAAGUAGAGACACUUCAGCCUUGGCAGGAUGUGACUGCUAAUGUCCAUAUGGUCCAUUUUAAUAUAUGCCUUCACAUGAGAGGUAUCAUAAAAGGGGGAAGGAAUAUGAAGUACUUGCUAUUCAAUGGCAUGUGGUAAAAACCUGAUGUGGUGAUCAGAAUGUUGCUUAAGAUAAGCAUGUUUAAAGCAGCUUCAAAGACAGUCCGACUUCUCAGUUUAGGGUGAAAUGUGAAAUUGAAAAAGGAGGGAAAGUAUUUAUUUGUAGCAUACCGAAGCAAGACCCUCGGGUGUUGGACAGAAUCUAAAUGAAAGACAUCCUCUUGAAACUUUGCUGAGAGGGAAAGUAGGCCUACUGCAAAUACAGCUGUUCUGAAGCAGGAAUGGUUGGUAGUUGCCACAGUAACACCAGCUGUGUUCACCUGAGUAACAAUUCUGACAUCACAGUCAGGUAAUGGUGGAGCAACAUUCUAAAAUGUGCCUCUGAUGCUCUUGAUUUUAUGUAGGUGUGUCCUUUAUAAUGUAUCUGGCAUAAGAGCAGAGGAUAAAAAUGAACUUUCAGUACAAUUACCAACAACACUUAUUACAACAAGAUCAUGGACACCGUUCAAAAAUGGGCCUAGAUUCUGCUGUUCUUGCAAACAUUUCCACAGAGGCCUACACCUCUGGAGGUAUCAUCCAGACAUCUACUCCAUUGAUUGAUUAUGUCUACACUCCACACCCUCAGCACCUUCCGAUGAUGCCUAUUGGACCAGCCUGGCCCUCACAGCCAUACCACUGUGUUCCAACCAUGGUGGGUGCUGCUAAACCUCCCGUGUCUGUGGUUGAUCCCAGCAUCCCCUCUACGGUGAUGAAAGGAGAGAAGAAUAAAAGGCAACGAGCUGUUAGGUCGAGGGCAAAAAGAGACCCUAACAGUUUCACUCAGAAAUAUAGGAGACUGAUGACAGUGAUGGGCAAGACUGGAACCAAAAUUGACGACACCUCUUAUUCAAACUAUCAGAGAUGGGAUGCUACUGAUAUGGUGAAUCUUCCAAGUCAGGCAACUGAGGCCAAAACAGAAGAGGUGGGUACCGCUGACAGAAACUUAUAUAUGCUAAUGGUUAAUGAAGAGCAGAACAGCAUGAGGGAAAAUAAAGACGAAGACAAGAUGAAUAGAGAGAAAGAUGGAGAGGAAACUCCAAAAGUGAGAGCUGUGGGACUUAAAGGCCAACAUGAGAUGAGCAUGAGGCAGAGAUUUCACAGCCAAGUGAAAAGUCAUCGCCCAACUAACUAUGACACAGUGACUACAGUCGGACAAGUUGUUGCAGGUGACGACAGGAUCUUUCAGAGGUACCCUAUCAUCGUUCACUCUCAGCAGCACCUGGCCAGUCCAUCUCUCUUCCACCAAGACGGGAACUCUCAUAGUCAAUGUCCUGAGAUACCCUUCAGCACCAUAUCUCUGUCCGAGUGGGCGGCCCUCAUGGACACGUGUCUCUUCCAACCUUGGCCGCAGGGGUCAAAGGCUUGUGUGGUUGGAGAAGACACAGAGACAGGCUUGGCCCCUGCUGCCUCCAAUGACAGGUCAACAGACUGCCAUAGCAAUGAGAGUCGUAGGUAUGUGCCCUUGGAUGACAGCACCUUGAUUGAUGAACUUUACUAUCAGUAUGCACGCCACAGAUUUACAUCAUUCUUACCAGAUGGACAGGACUAACGAAUGGAGAGAGCAGAUACAAAAUCACCCGAGACUUUUGAAAAUGUUUAUCUGGCUCUAAUAAAGUAUAUAUUUUCAGCAUUAAAAACGGUAUUGUCACCUUUUCUUCCAUAGCUAUGCUACAUUUAUCCCCCAGUUCAUAAUAGUAGGCUUAAUGUGUUCAUAAUAUUCAUCGUAACCCAUGUCCGUUGAAAAAAAGAAGUUUGAAGCCCAUUGGUAGGCUACAGGUAAUUUUCGCACAUCAUUUUAC
rnacentral:lncRNA from 8 species